rnacentral:sRNA from 1 species
CCUAACCGCCCUCUCCACCUUCUCAAUCCUCCCCUCCCACUCCGCCCAAACCUCACUACCACCCAAAACCCCAACUUCCACCCACCGCUUUGCCACCAGCGCACUACGCGCUCGCAGCUCCGCUAUCUCUGCUGCCUGCUGUUCCUGCACCGCUGCCAGUCGGUCCAGACGUGGCUGUAGUUCUAUCAGUGAUGCCGAGAGGGACGCGGGCGGGAUGGGUAGGUCCUUGAGGGAGGUGAGGCGGGAGGCGGUUUCGGGGAAGGCAGAGGCGUAGGAGAGGAUUAUGGAAGUUAGGGCUUGCUGGGAGAGCGUGCUGGGGAUUGCUGGGGGUUGGGGUGAGGAAGAGGAAGACGAAGAGGUGGUGGUGGUGAUGGGGUGGAU